rnacentral:rRNA from 1 species
AACAAUGAAGCGAGUGGCGAACUGGUGAGUAACACGUGGGAAUCUGCCCAGAAGCAGGGGAUAACACUUGGAAACAGGUGCUAAUACCGUAUAACAACAAAAUCCGCAUGGAUUUUGUUUGAAAGGUGGCUUCGGCUAUCACUUCUGGAUGAUCCCGCGGCGUAUUAGUUAGUUGGUGAGGUAAAGGCCCACCAAGACGAUGAUACGUANCCGACCUGAGANGGUAAUCGGCCACAUUGGGACUGANACACGGCCCAAACUCCUACGGGAGGCAGCAGUANGGAAUCUUCCACAAUGGACGAAAGUCUGAUGGA